UUACACUAGGAAUAUUUCAAACACAGUAAUUGUAAGGAUUCCUCAAUAUAGCUUUGGUUGUUAAUUUGCAUCCUAGUUAGGUUAUAUUAUAGGGCUAAUUACCGUUAUGUCGAUUUUUAAAUCCAGCUAAGCUAUAGUCAACUAAUCUAAACUUUGAAGCCUGAUCCUCCUUUACUUUCUGCGUUGAUCCCACUGCUU